GGGCCGGUAGCUCAGCCUGGUAGAGCGCCUCACUUUUAAUGAGGCGGUCGCGAGUUCGAAUCUCGUCCGGCCCA
rnacentral:tRNA from 1 species